AUUGAACGCUGGCGGCAGGCUUAACACAUGCAAGUCGAGCGGGGUGAUGGUGCUUGCACUAUCACUUAGCGGCGGACGGGUGAGUAAUGCUUAGGAAUCUGCCUAUUAGUGGGGGACAACAUCUCGAAAGGGAUGCUAAUACCGCAUACGUCCUACGGGAGAAAGCAGGGGAUCACUUGUGACCUUGCGCUAAUAGAUGAGCCUAAGUCGGAUUAGCUAGUUGGUGGGGUAAAGGCCUACCAAGGCGACGAACUGUAGCGGGUCUGAGAGGAUGAGCCGCCACACUGGGACUGAGACACGGCCCAGACUCCUACGGGAGGCAGCAGUGGGGAAUAUUGACAAUGGGUGGAACCCUGAUCCAGCCAUGCCGCGUGUGUGAAGAAGGCCUUAUGGUUGUAAAGCACUUUAAGCGAGGAGGAGGCUCUUUUGGUUAAUACCCAAGAUGAGUGGACGUUACUCGCAGAAUAAGCACCGGCUAACUCUGUGCCAGCAGCCGCCGUAA
rnacentral:rRNA from 1 species